AUACGGAGGAUGCAAGCGUUAUCCGGAUUUAUUGGGUUUAAAGGGUGCGUAGGCGGUUUGCUAAGCGGGAGGUGAAAUGCCGGCGCUCAACGUCGGAAGUGCCUCCCGAACUGGUGGACUUGAAUGACUCUGCCGUGGGAGGAAUGUGUAGUGUAGCGGUGCAAUGCUUAGAGAUUACACAGAACACCGAUUGCGAAGGCAUCUCACGAAGGGUUGAUUGACGCUGAGGCACGAAAGCGUGGGGAUCAAACAGGAUUAGAUACCCUGGUAGUCCACGCAGUAAACGAUGAUGGCUAACCGCUGGGCUUAUCAGUUCAGUGGCCAAGCGAAAGCGAUAAGCCAUCCACCUGGGGAGUACGACCGCAAGGUUGAAACUCAAAUGAAUUGACGGGG
rnacentral:rRNA from 1 species